rnacentral:rRNA from 1 species
GUCUAUGGCCAUACCACCCUGAAUGCACCUGAUCUCAUGAAGCUAAGUGGGGUGGGGUCUAGUUAGUACUUGGAUGGGAGAGAUAAAUAAAUUAUGGUACAUCUGUGCAAAGGAACACUAUGCAGCCUUUAAAA